rnacentral:rRNA from 1 species
GAUGAACGCUAGCGGCAGGCUUAACACAUGCAAGUCGAGGGGUAACAGGGAGGAGCUUGCUUUUCCGCUGACGACCGGCGCACGGGUGCGUAACGCGUAUAGAACCUACCUUUUACAGGGGAAUAGCCCAGAGAAAUUUGGAUUAAUGCCCCAUAGUAUUAUUGAAUGGCAUCAUUUAAUAAUUAAACAUUUAUGGGUAAAAGAUGGCUAUGCGUUCUAUUAGCUAGAUGGUAAGGUAACGGCUUACCAUGGCAACGAUAGAUAGGGGUCCUGAGAGGGAGAUCCCCCACACUGGUACUGAGACACGGACCAGACUCCUACGGGAGGCAGCAGUGAGGAAUAUUGGACAAUGGAGGCAACUCUGAUCCAGCCAUGCCGCGUGCAGGAAGACGGUCCUAUGGAUUGUAAACUGCUUUUAUAUAGGAAGAAACCUUUCCACGUGUGGAAAGCUGACGGUACUAUAAGAAUAAGCACCGGCUAACUCCGUGCCAGCAGCCGCGGUAAUACGGAGGGUGCAAGCGUUAUCCGGAAUCAUUGGGUUUAAAGGGUCCGUAGGCGGACUAAUAAGUCAGGGGUGAAAUCCAACAGCUUAACUGUUGAACUGCCUUUGAUACUGUUAGUCUUGAGUUAUAUGGAAGUAGAUAGAAUAUGUAGUGUAGCGGUGAAAUGCUUAGAGAUUACAUAGAAUACCGAUUGCGAAGGCAGUCUACUACGUAUAUAC